rnacentral:rRNA from 1 species
CGCAAGCGUUAUCCGGAAUUAUUGGGCGUAAAGAGCUCGUAGGCGGUUUGUCGCGUCUGCCGUGAAAGUCCGGGGCUCAACCCCGGAUCUGCGGUGGGUACGGGCAGACUAGAGUGCUGUAGGGGAGACUGGAAUUCCUGGUGUAGCGGUGAAAUGCGCAGAUAUCAGGAGGAACACCGAUGGCGAAGGCAGGUCUCUGGGCAGUAACUGACGCUGAGGAGCGAAAGCAUGGGGAGCGAACAGGAUUAGAUACCCUGGUAGUCCAUGCCGUAAACGUUGGGCACUAGAUGUGGGGGACAUUCCACGUUUUCCGCGUCGUAGCUAACGCAUUAAGUGCCCCGCCUGGGGAGUACGGCCGCAAGGCUAAAACUCAAAGGAAUUGACGGGGGCCCGCACAAGCGGCGGAGCAUGCGGAUUAAUUCGAUGCAACGCGAAGAACCUUACCAAGGCUUGACAUGGACCGGACCGCUCUGGAAACAGGGCUUCCCUUCGGGGCUGGUUCACAGGUGGUGCAUGGUUGUCGUCAGCUCGUGUCGUGAGAUGUUGGGUUAAGUCCCGCAACGAGCGCAACCCUCGUUCCAUGUUGCCAGCACGUGAUGGUGGGGACUCAUGGGAGACUGCCGGGGUCAACUCGGAGGAAGGUGGGGACGACGUCAAAUCAUCAUGCCCCUUAUGUCUUGGGCUUCACGCAUGCUACAAUGGCCGGUACAAUGGGUUGCGAUACUGUGAGGUGGAGCUAAUCCCAAAAAGCCGGUCUCAGUUCGGAUUGGGGUCUGCAACUCGACCCCAUGAAGUCGGAGUCGCUAGUAAUCGCAGAUCAGCAACGCUGCGGUGAAUACGUUCCCGGGCCUUGUACACACCGCCCGUCAAGUCACGAAAGUUGGUAACACCCGAAGCCGGUGGCCCAACC